AUAUCAGAGAAUCCAAGGGAAGAAAAAAAAGAUGAAUAGAAACACAUACUAAAUACUUCCGAUGAAAACAAGGAACUGCCAGUAAAUGGAGAAGAAAUGAAACAGGAAAGGAGGUGCUAUCUGACCUUCCUGGAGAGAAAGGAGAGCUAGAAAAUGCAGAUGAAAAACUUGUCUUCCCCACCAGUGGAGUGCAAAGAGCCCCUGAACCUGCAGACAAGAGCCUCUCUCAGCCCAGUAACUCAGGAUUUAUGCAGCUGUGACUGUUAAGAAGAUCUUGCAUGACUCCCUGCGCAGUAAAACCCUGCUCUUGUCGAGCCCACCGGCAUUUCUUCAACCCAGACUGCUCCUGCAGGAUCCAGGGUAUGGGAAGAGGAUGAGUGAGAGGAAGCCACACAGACGUGGCCAAUCCUCAGAACAGAGUCCUGUGGCCUUCUGCUGCCCAUGGCCAUGCACACAGCAUCCUCCUUGCUUGACAUCAGCAGACUACAAGCGAGCUGGGAAUCCAACCCAGGGCAUCUGGUCUUUUUGCCAUUAAUGGAUAUAGAUCAGUUGCAAUGGUCAUUUUGAAUAGGUCCUUUCCUUACCCCCAAAAUAAGCUUAUUAGGAAGCUCUCCCUUUUACAUAGCCCCCAUUAGAGACAAAUCCCACUCCCUGGUGACUGAGGUAAAUAAACCCAAGCAACCUCUGCAGCAAAGCCAUCACCCACUAGAUGGCAAGUUUGCUCCAUCCAACGCCAUGCUCAGCACUGCUCAUCUGCAGAGAGCGCGGAAAACCGCAGAUGCGUUAAAAAAAAUAGUCAGCAGGUCCUAUUUACUGAGAGACUCACAGACUUUUCAGCCUCAAAACCAACGGGAUAUAGAGUUAUAUCAAGUCUAUAAGCCAAAGAGGCAAAUGUAGGAGCAGCUGGGCUUUGCGUUAGAGGGGUGCGUCAGAGGCAGGUUAGCAGGGAGGGAUGGACCGCUUCCUUCUGGGACACAACAAACUGUACUGUUCAAUACGAAACCAUGGCUGAGUGUAUCUCGAGUGUGGCAGUGCUUCCUUCCCCUCGGAGGCCGCUGUUUCCAAAGUACUACCUUUUUGGUUCAUCAUCCGAUAGCGGGGAGCACGCUGACCUCUGUCAAAGCAUGGAAGACCUAACAUGGAGAAAUAGGAACAGACAAGGUUUGAAUCCUGCAGGACAUUUCCCAUGUGCCGUCUGUAGGAUCUGAACCUUGGAUCUACCACCCAAAAGCCAACCCGUGGACUUGGGCUUGUAUGUAGCCCCACAAAGGGGGAACAAGACACAGCUCCCCUUCCUCACUACUAUUUCCAUUAGCUCUGCUGCUUACGAAUCACAAUCCUCAUUGACACUCAUGGAUUGCUUGCAAGACUGCUGUCUUGUGCUCUGCAUGGAGUAACUUGGUCCUCUGGAGCACAGGGAGGAAAGUAUUAAAAAGGCAGUAGCACCUUUCGUAUGUGAUGAUAGGGUGACCAGAAUGCUAAUGCAGUGGGAAAUUGUUCUCAUAUAUAUGAACUGCCUGUAAUAGAGAAGCAAAUCCACUUUUUGCUAGAUACAAAUUCCACUGAACUGUUCAAAGCCUAACUGAAAUAUUUGUAGAGUCUGUAAUUGAAUUAGAGCUGAUGGAGAAAGGCUGUGGCUCCGAGCUCUGUGGAGCUGGAGGGAUCUGCAGCCUUGGGCCAGGUGGAGGAGACUGGGAGAGCACAGCUGAGGCUCUUAAAGGAGGAGAGAAGGAGAGAGAACAUAGAGCUGCCUGGUAGAGGGAAGGUGAUGUGCUGCUGCAGGACCAGAGGGCAGGUAACUGCAGUGUGGGCAUGACCAGUGGUGCUGGUCUAACCAAGUGGGAAUGCAACAGGCAGCAAUCAAGGGUUUCAACAACUACCAGCCAAGAGCUAAGGAAGGGGAUGUAUCCUGUCUCUGAUGGUGACAAGUGUACUCUAGGACCAGCUAAUAACCUAGGUGCAGAAGCACCUGGUGAAGAGGAGAAGAGUGUAGCAGAGAAGCUGAGCAAAUGUUCUUCAUCUGUGUGGAGGAGCUUACUGGAGUCCUCAGCCCGGAACAUUUCUUUACGGGGGAUGAGUCAGAAAAUGUGUCUCAAAGUGAUGCUUCAGUAGAUGAAGUUAUAAAGCACCUCGACAAAACAAACGGUACCAGUUUAGCAGCAACGAGUGGUUUUCAGUCAAGAGCUCUGAAGGAAUUCAAGGAUGAAAUAGCUGAACUAUUAACUGCAUUAAGCCUACUGUGAAACCUCUUACUUAAAAUAUUCUCGCUAUAGGGGGCAAGAAAGCAGUGAGACCUUGCAUUUAAAAAAUGCUUUUGAGCAGAUCCAGGAAGAGUAGAUUAUUAAUACCGAUGCCUAAAUGAGGUGAAACUGUAGUAUGGAAGGGAAUUAGGGAGCGUGUUAGUGAGAUUUGAUUUAUGGGAAAAGUCAACUAGGCUUUUGUGAAUGGAAGGACUACCUGAAGGGUCAGCAAGGGAUCUUGUAUAAAAAUGCUGAGAAAAGCAUGGUGUGGUCUGCUCGAGUUUCUGAAAGAGUUUAACAAAUUCCUUGUUCAAAGGAUCUUAAAGAAACUUUACAGGAGCUCUGAGUUCCUAUGAGAAGGAAGGUGCUCCCAUAGGUAAGUCUAGGCCAAGGCUAGGAGUCAAAGGGAAGGAGACACUGGUCAGCCCUCGUGGUGAAGAGCCCCACAAGGCUUAACCUUGGUGAUGACUGUAAACUCCAGCUCCAGGCUGGACCCACAACUGAAACAUGAAUCAAGAUGAAAACAGAGUCCCACAUGGUGACUCCAGCCAGUUUGAGUUUCACUUGCAGGUGAAUCUGGGUGUUUUACAAGGUGGGGUUCUGUUCUGUUUGUUCCCAGUAUUCAAUUUUCUUAUUUUUUGACCACAGCAGAGAACUGAACUGACUCCAGCUCUUACUCCUGAGUGGUAUUUUUUCAGAGCUCAUUAUAGUGUAUCUGAUUUGUUCUCCCCAUGUGCGUCACUUUGCAUUUAUCUGUAUUGAAUUCUGUCUUCUAUUUUGUCACCCGCUCUCUCAAUAUUAUGAGAUCCUCUGGUUUAAUUUGAUGUCCCUUCUCCCUAUGCAGGGAGAGAAAUGGAAAAACUUGGCCCUAUGCAUCCUCUCAGGGUUCUCGUGAGUUUGUCUUCUUUCACAUGUCCAUUAAGACAAUCCCUUCUCUAUGCUGAAGGGUCCUGUCCUACAGUUUUCCUCAUACAAAAGCCAUUCCAGACCUUCCAUCACCCUCUUGUCCCCCCCUUGUACCCAAGUAUAUGAGAUGAGGGGUCUGAAGCCACAGUAUGACUGAACCAAUGAUUUAUACAGCACUGGAACUGUGUUUUCCAUUGAUCAGGUAAUUUACCAUUCUCUACGAGCUCUUCACUGAGGCUGCACACCAUGUGUUACCGACACAGAUGGCCCAUUUGACAGUUUAGAUACGGUCUUACAAAUGGCCUUCCUCCACCUUUGCUUAGUUCUGGAGUCCUCUUGUCAUAAUGAGUCACUGGAGUGCUCCUCUCCCAGAUCUGCUUGGUGAUUGCCUCCCUGUGAUUUACAGGUCAACCUCAGCUGUUCCUACCUGACAUCCAAAGAGCUAUGCCCCAUCUCCCUCCCCUUGCACUCGUAAUUUCAUAACAUUUGCCUUCCAUUCCUCUUCCAAAACCACUUUGCAGGAUUGUCUGCUCUGUUGCUUUGCUCCUGCUUGGGAAGUAGGCUGAUUUCAUUAGUAAUUUGGCCAACUUCUACGGAGCAAGCAUGAUGUACUAAAUCAUGGUCAUGGUUGCACUAGAAAAGAACGAUGCCUGCAUGUUCUGACUCAGGCUGUCUUUCAUUGGACCCAAUGAUGCUGUAGGUUGAGCUGCUUUAUUUGAUUCCUGAUGGGUUAGCUCCUUUAUAACACCUUAGUGGUCAUUUGCUGCAGGACAUGGGUUCUCAAUGGAGGUCAGAGGAGAUUACUGCUGAGCACAUUGCUCUGAACAGAAGCAGGGCUAUGUGUGCAGACUCGAAAGAGGAGCACUGGUGAUGCAAUUAGGAAUAAAGCUCAAAUAGGUAUUAUUGUGAGACAUGAAAGUAGCUCUGUUGGGACAGAACACUUUCUCUUUCUUUAGAAAGUGGAUGCCUGACCUCUGUUUCCAUCCACAAGGUGUUUUGUACUGUUUUUCCAUUGAGAUAUUAACAGCUCCUUUGAAAUCAUUGAACUGAAUGGUUCUAUACCAAGUGACAAAUUACCUGUAAAAGAUCUCACUGAAAGCUUCUUCCCGAGUUAAAGAAUUGAUUUCCAGAUAUCUCAGCACUUCUUCCAUCUUCUCAAAGACAGCACUUCUCCAGGACUCCUUGCUCUCUGAGAUGCUCAAGAAUACUGAUAACAAGGGAGUACAUCGCAUCCAUGCACACGGGCAGCAGUGUAAGGGGAGUGUGCUUCCCGGCUGUCAUUAUUUCAUUCAUCUCACAUGCUCAGGACCAGGACUGGUCACAGCUGGCAUCCUUUCAGCCAUGGUGCAUCACACCACAGUGGUCUGUGUAUCAAGAGCUGGAUGCCAGUAAGGGAGAGAGAGAGAGAGAGCGCCCUUCAGGUCAUCUGUGCAUCCAGCUCCUUGUCCACGUUUGAAAUAGAUUUGAAGUGACAUAACUAACCCUGAAACAAAAGGUGUCCACUCUUCAAAGCGAUGUCUGAAGCUCUCAUCUGGAUGAUUACUGAUGGCAUGCACGGUGAACAGAGUGCUAAAGGAGCCGAGUGAAAUAGAAGCAAAAGCUUUUUUUCUUAGUUUUUAUUUUUUUAUUUAAUAUAUGUAUGCAUGAAGCCUCCUCCUUGUAAGAACCAGGAAUACUUUCAGAUGAAGCCCUCUGGCUCUGAUCUGCCUUCGGGACUGCUUGAUUUAUGGUGCUUCAUGUGAGCUUCUGACAGAGCUUCAGUUGGCUGCAUGCACCCUCUCUUUGAGAUGUGAUCAAAAAUGCACAUUUGAACCUGUGCAACCAUCCGUAUCAGCGCUAAUAACUGCAAUAGGUGAAGCCUGCAGGGUGACUUUGGGCUGAAGUUUUUCUCCUUGCAAAUCAAGCAUGCAAACAGCCUGGUGCUGACUCUGCUCAUUGCUGUAAGUUUGCUUCUGCACCAAGUGCUGGGUUUGGACCGUGAUGUUUUUGCGAUGGUGCACGUGCAAACUCCAUCUCUGGCCACCUCAGUUCUCAAUGUUGUUAACUUGUAGGAGGUAUUCAGAUAAACCUCCUGUCUCAGGGCAUCUAGAAGCCUGCCCUGGCUUCCUUUGCCUUUGCCUUGUCUCUGCUUAAGCAGAGACCUGAGUUAAGACUUACAAGAUCGUGGAAGUGCUCCUCUCCCCUGCUUCAGAGCACUUGCUGUGCUGCCCUUUUUGCUGUGAUCUCAUCACUAAUUGCAUAGGUGGAUGUCAUUCACCCACCAGGUGAGCAAGGGUAGCACUACUAUGUGUAUAUCAUAUUCAAAUAGCAGAUGAGAAUGAUGUUUUUGUUUUUAAAAAAGCAA